CUUCGCCGAUAUAUGAAUGACUAUGUUAUCUGCAAUAGUUGCAAGGGCCGACAUACACGCAUUGAAAAGGAUAAGGAGAACCGUCUGACGUUCCUCAACUGUGACGAGUGCGGUUCUCAAAGGUCCGUCGCUCCAAUUAAGGCCGGCUUCGUCGCUCGGGUCGGUCGCAGGAAGGCUGAAAUCUAGCAGAAAAGGGACGGAGAAAAAAAGACAUGAUCGUUUGCAUUCAGAAACCCUAC